CAGUCGCCGCGGGAAUACGAAGGGGGCUAGCGUUGUUCGGAAUUACUGGGCGUAAAGCGCACGUAGGCGGAUAUUUAAGUCAGGGGUGAAAUCCCAGAGCUCAACUCUGGAACUGCCUUUGAUACUGGGUAUCUUGAGUAUGGAAGAGGUGAGUGGAAUUCCGAGUGUAGAGGUGAAAUUCGUAGAUAUUCGGAGGAACACCAGUGGCGAAGGCGGCUCACUGGUCCAUUACUGACGCUGAGGUGCGAAAGCGUGGGGAGCAAACAGGAUUAGAUACCCCUGUAGUCCCUGUCUCUUAUAA
rnacentral:rRNA from 1 species